rnacentral:rRNA from 1 species
CCUACGGGUGGCAGCAGUGGGGAAUAUUGCACAAUGGGGGAAACCCUGAUGCAGCGACGCCGCGUGAGUGAAGAAGUAUUUCGGUAUGUAAAGCUCUAUCAGCAGGGAAGAAAUAAAGUCCUUCGGACUUUGGACGGUACCCGAAGAAAAAGCAUCGGCUAACUCCGUGCCAGCAGCCGCGGUAAUACGGAGGAUGCGAGCGUUAUCCGGAUUUAUUGGGUUUAAAGGGUGCGCAGGCGGAAGAUCAAGUCAGCGGUAAAAUUGAGAGGCUCAACCUCUUCGAGCCGUUGAAACUGGUUUUCUUGAGUGAGUGAGAAGUAUGCGGAAUGCGUGGUGUAGCGGUGAAAUGCAUAGAUAUCACGCAGAACUCCGAUUGCGAAGGCAGCAUACCGGCGCGCAACUGACGCUCAUGCACGAAAGCGUGGGUAUCGAACAGGAUUAGAUACCCCGGUAGUC